AGUGAACGCUGGCGGUAGGCCUAACACAUGCAAGUCGAACGGCAGCACAGUAAGAGCUUGCUCUUACGGGUGGCGAGUGGCGGACGGGUGAGGAAUACAUCGGAAUCUACUUUUUCGUGGGGGAUAAUGUAGGGAAACUUACGCUAAUACCGCAUACGACCUACGGGUGAAAGCAGAGGAUCUUCGGACCUUGCGCGAUUGAAUGAGCCGAUGUCGGAUUAGCUAGUUGGCGGGGUAAAGGCCCACCAAGGCGACGAUCCGUAGCUGGUCUGAGAGGAUGAUCAGCCACACUGGAACUGAGACACGGUCCAGACUCCUACGGGAGGCGGCAGUGGGGAAUAUUGGACAAUGGGCGCAAGCCUGAUCCAGCCAUACCGCGUGGGUGAAGAAGGCCUUCGGGUUGUAAAGCCCUUUUGUUGGGAAAGAAAAGCAGCAGGUUAAUACCCCGCUGUUCUGACGGUACCCAAAGAAUAAGCACCGGCUAACUUCGUG
rnacentral:rRNA from 1 species